rnacentral:rRNA from 1 species
AACGAACGCUGGCGGCAGGCUUAACACAUGCAAGUCGAACGGAUCCUUCGGGAUUAGUGGCAGACGGGUGAGUAACGCGUGGGAACGUACCCUUUGCUACGGAAUAACUCAGGGCAACUUGAGCUAAUACCGUAUGUGCCCUACGGGGGAAAGAUUUAUCGGCAAAGGAUCGGCCCGCGUUGGAUUAGCUAGUUGGUGGGGUAAUGGCCUACCAAGGCGACGAUCCAUAGCUGGUCUGAGAGGAUGAUCAGCCACACUGGGACUGAGACACGGCCCAGACUCCUACGCGAGGCAGCAGUGGGGAAUAUUGGACAAUGGGCGCAAGCCUGAUCCAGCCAUGCCGCGUGAGUGAUGAAGCUCUUAGGAUUGUAAAGCUGUUUCACCGGUGAAGCUAAUGACGGUAGCCGGAGAAGAAGCCCCGGCUAACUUCGUG